UCUACUUCAUAAGGACCAUCAUUAUCCCAAGCUCUGCUGCCCAGGGUACGGAUAAUCUUAAGCAGAGAAAACCCUCCUGUUCUCUUCCCAAUAGAAAGAGACAAAUUCUGCUUUCUUCAUCUGGCCCAUAGAAAGAAAAUGAAAAAAACUGUUUGGAAUUAUGGAAACUGUUCCUUCUUGAUUUGUCUAAAUUUGCCCAGAUUACUCUAAUUUUUGAUAAAUUAGAAUGUAACAAGUAUGUUAACUUAUUCAAUACAUUAUGGUCAUUAUUAGUUAUUAGCUUCAUUUCAAAACAAAUGUGCUUGGCAUGAGCCAUGUGAAGGUUUCUGGGUUGGUAUUAGCAACAAGUUUAGUCUUAGUUACAUUCAUGAAUUCCACAUAAUAUGUGUAUAUGGAAUUGGAAGCCUGGCAGGGCCAUUUAGAAUAUGUUCUUAACUAUGAUUCUCUUUAAUAGUUGGAGAAAACUUUAAAUGCCUCAACAAAAACUUAAAGGAAUGUUCAAUUUUUCACUUUCAGAUAUGUUCAAAUUACUUAAAAUGGGUGGAUAGAUGUGGCAAUAUUGUUUAAAUGAUAACAUUUGUUUGCUUGCUUAACAGGAAAAACAUGUUUAGUCCUUGUUUUAAUGAUGAUUACUAUAUUUUUCCUAGAGUUAGAUUAAGAGAGGAUGGCAUUGACCUAAAACUGUGGUUUGCCAGA
rnacentral:lncRNA from 1 species